rnacentral:rRNA from 1 species
GGACGAACGCUGGCGGCGCGCCUAACACAUGCAAGUCGAACGAGAGAUGAGGAGCUUGCUCUUCAGAUCGAGUGGCGAACGGGUGAGUAACGCGUGAGGAACCUGCCUCAAAGAGGGGGACAACAGUUGGAAACGACUGCUAAUACCGCAUAAGCCCACGGCUCGGCAUCGAGCAGGGGAAAAGGAGCAAUCCGCUUUGAGAUGGCCUCGCGUCCGAUUAGCUAGUUGGUGAGGUAACAGCCCACCAAGGCGACGAUCGGUAGCCGGACUGAGAGGUUGAACGGCCACAUUGGGACUGAGACACGGCCCAGACUCCUACGGGAGGCAGCAGUGGGGAAUAUUGCACAAUGGGGGAAACCCUGAUGCAGCGACGCCGCGUGGAGGAAGAAGGUCUUCGGAUUGUAAACUCCUGUUGUUGAGGAAGAUAAUGACGGUACUCAACAAGGAAGUGACGGCUAACUACGUG